rnacentral:misc_RNA from 1 species
UCAAACUUGGUCAUUUAGAGGAAGUAAAAGUCGUAACAAGGUCUCCGUAGGUGAACCUGCGGAGGGAUCAUUACUGAGUUAUCUAACUCCCAAACCAAUGUGAACUUACCACUGUUGCCUCGGCGGCAGUCCUCUGUAAAAGGAGGCGGCCGCCGGUGGACUACUAAACUCUUGUUAAUUUUUGUCAUUCUGAAUAACAAACUUAAUAAGUUAAAACUUUCAACAACGGAUCUCUUGGUUCUGGCAUCGAUGAAGAACGCAGC